rnacentral:rRNA from 1 species
AUUGAACGCUGGCGGCAUGCCUAACACAUGCAAGUCGAACGGCAGCACAGUAUGUAGCAAUACAUAUGGGUGGCGAGUGGCGGACGGGUGAGUAACGCGUGGGAAUCUGCCCUAUAGUGGGGGACAACCCGACGAAAGUCGGGCUAAUACCGCAUACGCCUACGGGGGAAAGGCUUCGGCCGCUAUUGGAUGAGCCCGCGUCGGAUUAGCUAGUUGGUGAGGUAAUGGCUCACCAAGGCGACGAUCCGUAGCUGGUCUGAGAGGACGAUCAGCCACACUGGGACUGAGACACGGCCCAGACUCCUACGGGAGGCAGCAGUGGGGAAUAUUGCACAAUGGGCGAAAGCCUGAUGCAGCAAUGCCGCGUGUGUGAAGAAGGCCUGCGGGUUGUAAAGCACUUUCGGUAGGGAAGAUAAUGACGGUACCUACAGAAGAAGCACCGGCUAACUCCGUGCCAGCAGCCGCGGUAAU